AUUUCUGGUUAAUUUUGAAAAGAAGAUGAGGAAAAAAAUUGGGGGCAAAUGAAAUUAAGCAGAGGGCCAGAUGUGGCCUGUGGCCCUUGAGUUACUGGACUCGACUGUUUGUAUAAAAGUGACUGAAUUAUUAUCUCUGUGAGAAGUUGUGAACUAACAGCCUUGAAACUCCCACAGAAGUCCGUAUCCAUAAGAGGACAAUACUUAAAUCAUCUGAAAGUCAAAUCCUUACGUAACCAAACGUUCACAGUGGGACAAAAACAACUGCAAAAGAAUGGCUAUUAAAAAAACAACUCAUAUAUCAGUGCCUCAUAUUUCACAUACCAAUCAGAUGACAUAAAAGCACACCAGCUGCAUUCUGAAGGAGAAUGUGUACAUAAAUCUUCCAGCAGGGUUACUCCUCACUCAAUGUAACGUGGCAGUGGUUGCACAAGUGGUUCCCACAACAUUACAAAAUCAACCGAUGGAAGCUACUCCCACUGAGUUUGAAUCAUUAUGGGAAAACCCAACGUAUAGAAUACAGUCUGUCCAAACUCCUCAUUAGAACACAAAAGCAAAUUACAAUAAGAUAAUGAAACAGAAAUGCUGAAAUGAAACCAACAAGAAUAUCAGAUGCACACAGCAACAUUCAUAUGAACGCAACUUCUUUUUGCCAUUAUCAUGAAGGACUCCUGCAUCUGAGUCCAAGUUGAGGAGAGGGAAGCCCUGUGAGGAGAAGCCUCUUCGACUUCCAGAACACUUUCACUCCGUGAUGGAAACAGCAGGCUUUGGACCCGACCCUCGCCCCCACUUACACCCACCUUUAAAAUGACAUCACGA